rnacentral:sRNA from 1 species
GAGUUCUCUUUAAUUUCCCGAUGUUUUUAUAAAAAAAUACAAAAAAUAUUUAUGUUAAUAUUAAUAUCUGUGUGUUUCCUUUUACCCUGCCACUUUUCUCUAAGUGUAUACUAAAUGCUAGUCAGACCCAUCUCUUCAAUAUAUUAAAUUUCAAUCAUAGGGUAUCAAUCGCUUCGCAGCGUUCCUCCUUUCUUGUUUGUUGCCUCGAAAUUCCACAGUGUGUAUGGCUGACGGUUGACGGAAGUUGAAUUGCAAAUGAAAUUGUGAACAGUUCAGAUACGAGAUACGCGGCUUUGAGGUUGAAAUGCAUUCGACUCGCGACAACAUUUCCCGCACCAACAAAAAAACAACCGAAAAAUCGUUGGCCAUCAAACGAGAAGCGUGAAAAAAAAAAAUGUCACGCAGAAGCAGCUCAUUACAAAAGCUUUAAAUGCAUACAAAACGAGCCGAAGUCUCGUAUUCAUUUAUUUGGCUUGAAUAAAUUGUUGAUCAAAUGGGGAAGAUGCCUCCAAAUGGGAUUCUCUAUCUACUAGAUGUAUCGCUGCGUCUCUUUGGGGAUCGAGUAUGAGGGAUCGGCUUUGUCUGGAUCCUUAACAAACCGAAGCCUCAACCUCAUCUUUCACCUCAACAGCUACCGUGUCUUUGUUGAGCCUUUGCCUUCUCUGAUCGGAUUGAUCAUUUGUGCUAUCUUUCCACGAGAUAGGCUAUCUUUAAAAUGAUGAAUCACUGCUCCAAAGAUUGAUAAACCGAUUCAAAGAACACAGAAGAAAGACAGGGGCUACUCAGCAAAUUGGGACAAAAGAUCUAGGGUCCGUGCCGACCACACACCCGUAUUUUUGCUGAGGUUGGAAAAAAGUUCAGUUCUCUCUCUACGACAUCCUGAUCGAAAGAUAAUGACAGCUGCGAGGGCAGCCCGCGAGGGGAAAUACUUGAAUCAUCAACAAAACUCAAGAACAAGGGCCAGGAGGCGGCUGUCCACCUGUGGCCCCCAUCCGGUCUUCAUUGGUGCUCCCGUUUUCGCAGAAAUGAAAACAAAACGCAUCUCAAUUGCAGAUCGAAUAAAAACAGAUGACUUAUUGAUGCAUUUACAUAUAAGGGACACAUUUACCAGGGAAAUGCAGCUUUAGAUUUUUUUAAAAAGAAUUUUCUUUUAACCCAACCUCAAAUUUUGCGUGGAAAUAGUGCAACAACAUUUUGCGUUUUCGUGCAAACAGCGGACGCCCCGAUCGACACAUCGGAUGCAGCAAAUAACAGAGCAUAUUCUGCGCUUAACUGCACUAAAUGUUGUCUCUGUAAUAGAAAUAAAAGCAUAGGCUUUUGUACUAAGAGUU